rnacentral:rRNA from 1 species
CGCGGCCUAUCAGCUUGUUGGCGGGGUAACGGCCCACCAAGGCGACGACGGGUAGCCGGCCUGAGAGGGCGACCGGCCACACUGGAACUGAGACACGGUCCAGACUCCUACGGGAGGCAGCAGUGGGGAAUAUUGCACAAUGGGCGCAAGCCUGAUGCAGCAACGCCGCGUGGGGGAUGAAGGCCUUCGGGUUGUAAACCCCUUUCAGUAGGGAAGAAGCGAAAGUGACGGUACCUGCAGAAGAAGCGUCGGCUAACUACGUGCCAGCAGCCGCGGUAAUACGUAGGACGCAAGCGUUGUCCGGAAUUAUUGGGCGUAAAGAGCUCGUAGGCGGUUCGUCACGUCUGCUGUGAAAACCCGAGGCUUAACCUCGGGCCUGCAGUGGGUACGGGCGGACUAGAGUGUGGUAGGGGAGACCGGAAUUCCUGGUGUAGCGGUGGAAUGCGCAGAUAUCAGGAGGAACACCGAUGGCGAAGGCAGGUCUCUGGGCCACAACUGACGCUGAGGAGCGAAAGCGUGGGGAGCGAACAGGAUUAGAUACCCUGGUAGUCCACGCCGUAAACGGUGGGCACUAGAUGUGGGGCUCAUUCCACGAGUUCCGCGUCGCAGCUAACGCAUUAAGUGCCCCGCCUGGGGAGUACGG